rnacentral:sRNA from 1 species
UUAUUAUAUAAGAAGUGCCGUAGACAGUAGGUGUUUUUUAACGUAAUGCUUUUGCAGCCUACCGAGGAAUUAGAAUCGUAGAUUUUUAUCCUUGCUUUUUAUGUCUAGCAAGGCUUUUUAUAUUUG